GCUGACUUAUAAUUCAUGAAACACAGCUUCAGCUUCCGCCAAUCAGAUAGCUUUCUUCAACUAGUCUAACUGGCUUGAAGGAACUAAAAGGGCAGCACUAGAACAACAAAGAUAUCCUAUACGUCCUUAAUCUGCUUAUCUGUAACCUCUUACUGCCAGGUAGCUAGACAAAGCUCCAAGUAUUAUUUGCCGAGAGGAAGAACAGGUGAUUCAUAAAAAGGUGGCU